AAUGUGGCAAAAGGUCGCAAAGUUCAAGGGGGCCGAAUACUUUCGCAAGGCACUGUACUUCAUACAGCACCUGCAGUGGUAAAGAUCGUCAUGUCUCUCUUUGGUGGGUGCAUAAGUUUCACAAGAAGUAAGGUCCAGCUGAAUAAUGGAAAGAAGGCAGAAACCUGAACCAGGACGAGAGGUUCCACAUCUGAUGAUCCUAGGGGACCAGAAGGACCUCUCCCAGUGAUACCAGGAGAUCUAGUCUACGUUCGAGUGUUCCGAAGGAAGUGGGAUCAGCCGAGGAGAGAAGGACCCUACGAGGUGGCAAUAGCCACAAACACGGCCGUCUAAGUGAAAGGAAGCAAGACGUGGUAUCAUCUAAACCACUGCACCCGAGUCCCGACGGAGAGAAGGACACAACCAUACAGAGAUGAGGACACAGAGGAUGCUGAUUCACCAGGCGGGACCCCGGAGGGAGCAGGAGCAGCGGAAACGAUCAAAGCGCCGGGGAGGAAUCAAGAAAAUGGCAGACUAGAUACAACGAGUGCAUCAACUAAACGCACUCAGAAGAAGCACCAGGGGAAAAGAG